rnacentral:rRNA from 1 species
UACAGGGGGUGCAAACGUUGCUCGGAAUCAUUGGGCGUAAAGCGCACGCAGGCGGUCUGCCAAGUUCGGAGUGACAGUUUCCGGCUUAACCGGAAAAGGUCUUCGAAAACUGGUGGACUUGAGGACUUGAGGGGGAGACGGAAUUCCGGGUGGAGCGGUGAAAUGCGUAGAGAUCCGGAGGAACACCGACGGCGCAGGCAGCGCCCUGGUCGCUUGCUGACACUGAGGCACGAAAGCUGGGGGAGCAAACAGG